rnacentral:rRNA from 1 species
UACGUAGGGUGCAAGCGUUGUCCGGAAUUAUUGGGCGUAAAGAGCUCGUAGGCGGUUUGUUGCGUCGGCUGUGAAAUCCCGAGGCUUAACCUCGGGCCUGCAGUCGAUACGGGCAGACUAGAGUGUGGUAGGGGAGAUCGGAAUUCCUGGUGUAGCGGUGAAAUGCGCAGAUAUCAGGAGGAACACCGGUGGCGAAGGCGGAUCUCUGGGCCAUUACUGACGCUGAGGAGCGAAAGCGUGGGGAGCGAACAGG